CUCUCUGUACGGGAAGGAUGAGAAGCUUCGACUAAGGUUCGAUUCGAGCGAAAGCGAGAAAGCGUUGCCGCAGGCAACGACCCGAAGGGCGAAACGCGCAGCGCUGAGUCAUCCUUCCCCCACCACCA
rnacentral:sRNA from 2 species